GCAUAAUCAUUUGCCUUUUAAUUAAAGGCUUGUAUGAACGGACACACGAGAGCCCUGCUGUCUCAUCAAUAGCCCUAAAAACUACCCUUCAUGUGAAGAGACAUGAAUAAAAUAAAAAGACGAAAAGACCCUAUGGAGCUUUACUUAAAUAAGGCAUAGGCGCACACACACCUAUUCUUUAAAAAGUUUAGUUGGGGCGACUAAGGAGCAAACUAAAACCUCCUUCCCAUAAAAGAAAAUAAAUCCUCAAAAGAUCCACUAAAGUGAAUAAAGAUCCAGCUACCCUAGGGAUAACAGGCUAAUCCUCUUUAAGAGCCCAAAUUGACAAGAGGGGUUGGCACCUCGAUGUUGGCUUAAGGCACCUUCAAAAUGCAGCAGUUUUGACAGUAGGUUUGUUCACCCUUUAAAGCCUU
rnacentral:rRNA from 1 species